rnacentral:rRNA from 1 species
GAUGAACGCUAGCGGAGGCUUAACACAUGCAAGUCGAGGGGCAGCAUAGGGUAGCAAUACUCUGAUGGCGACCGGCAAACGGGUGAGUAACGCGUAUGUAACCUACCCUGUACAGGGGGAUAACCCGGAGAAAUUCGGACUAAUAUCCCAUAACAAUAUCCGGGGGCAUCUUUGGAUAUUUAAAGUUCCGGCGGUACGGGAUGGGCAUGCGUAACAUUAGCUAGUUGGUAAGGUAACGGCUUACCAAGGCUUUGAUGUUUAGGGGUCCUGACGAGGGUGGUCCCCCACACUGGUACUGAGACACGGACCAGACUCCUACGGGAGGCAGCAGUGAGGAAUAUUGGUCAAUGGGCGCAAGCCUGAACCAGCCAUCCCGCGUGCAGGAAGACGGCGCUAUGCGUUGUAAACUGCUUUUCCAGGGAGAGAAACUUGCGCACGUGUUGCGCAAUUGACGGUACCCUGGGAAUAAGCAUCGGCUAACUCCGUG